rnacentral:rRNA from 1 species
UUGGAGGGCAAGUCUGGUGCCAGCAGCCGCGGUAAUUCCAGCUCCAAUAGCGUAUAUUAAAGUUGUUGCAGUUAAAAAGCCCGUAGUUGAAUUUCGGGAUCAGAUUGUUGGUCGUGCUUCGGUACGCACUGGCAUUAUUGGUUCCUACCUUCUGAAGAACCGCGAUGUCAUUAAUUUGGUGUCGUGGGGAAUCAGGACUGUUACUUUGAAAAAAUUAGAGUGUUUAAAGCAGGCGCACGCUUGAAUACAUUAGCAUGGAAUAAUGAAAUAGGACGUUUGAUUCUAUUUUGUUGGUUUCUAGGAUCGACGUAAUGAUUAAUAGGGAUAGUUGGGGGCAUUAGUAUUCAAUUGUCAGAGGUGAAAUUCUUGGAUUUAUUGAAGACUAACUACUGCGAAAGCAUUUGCCAAGGAUGUUUUCAUUAAUCAAGAACGAAAGUUAGGGGAUCGAAGACGAUCAGAUACCGUCGUAGUCUUAACCAUAAACUAUGCCGACUAGGGAUCGGAUGAUGUUAAUUUUUUAAUGACUCAUUCGGCGCCUUACGGGAAACCAAAGUGUUUGGGUUC